CGCUUUGCGGCUGCUAAACAUGCAGUCGACGUGAAAGGGGCAACCCUGAGUAAAGUGGCGUACGGGUGAGUAAUGCAUAGGUAAUCUACCUCAGAGUUUGGAAUAACCUGCCGAAAGGCGGGCUAAUACUGGAUAGAGCGACGGGAUCCAUAAUAGGAUCUUUCGGGAAAGGGAGUCCGCAAGGACCUUCGCUCUGGGAUGAGCCUAUGUCUCAUUAGCUAGUUGGUGGGGUAAUGGCCCACCAAGGCUUUGAUGGGUAGCUGGUCUGAGAGGAUGAUCAGCCACACUGGAACUGAAACACGGUCCAGACUCCUACGGGAGGCAGCAGUGGGGAAUCUUGCGCAAUGGACGAAAGUCUGACGCAGCCACGCCGCGUGAGUGAAGAAGGCCUUCGGGUUGUAAAGCUCUGUCGAGCGGGACGAACAUCUAUUGGGUUAACAGCCUAGUAGACUGACGGUACCGCUAAAGGAAGCACCGGCUAACUUCGUGCCAGCAGCCGCGGUAAUACGAGGGGUGCAAGCGUUGCUCGGAAUUAUUGGGCGUAAAGGGUAGGUAGGUGGUCUCAUUUGUCUGGGGUGAAAGCCUUGGGCUUAACUCAAGAAGUGCCCCAGAAACGGUGAGACUAGAGUCCUGGAGAGGGUCGUGGAAUUCCCGGUGUAGCGGUGAAAUGCGUAGAGAUCGGGAGGAACACCAGAGGCGAAGGCGGCGACCUGGACAGGUACUGACACUCAACUACGAAAGCGUGGGGAGCAAACAGGAUUAGAUACCCUGGUAGUCCACGCUGUAAACGAUGGGUACUAGGUUUGGUGGGUCUUGACCCCCGCCGAACCGGCGCUAACGCACUAAGUACCCCGCCUGGGAAGUACGGUCGCAAGACUAAAACUCAAAGGAAUUGACGG
rnacentral:rRNA from 1 species